rnacentral:lncRNA from 1 species
GGUCCCAGUCUCGAACUGGUGUCACUGGGAGAGCCCCAGUCCCAAACUGGGAGGGUCUGAGGUUCAAACUGGGAGCACUGGGAGGGUCCCAGUCCCAAACUGGGAGGGUCCAAGGCUCAAACUGGGAGCACUGGGAGGGUCCCAGUCCCAAACUGGGAGCACUGGGAAGGUCUCAGUCCCAAACUGGGAGCGUCCCAGUCCCAAACUGGGAGCACUGGAGGGUCCCAAUCCCAGACUGGGAGCACUGGGAGGGUCCCAGUCCCAGACUGGUGUCACUGGGGUGUCACUGGGAGGGUCCCAGUCUCAAACUGGGAGGGUGCCAGGUUCAAACUGGGAGCACUGGGAGGGUUCCAGUCCCAAACUGGGAGGGUCCAAGGUUCAAACUGGGAGAGUCCCAGUCCCAGACUGGUGUCACAGGGGUGUCACUGGUGUCACUGGUCCGUUACUGGUGUCACUGGUGCUGUCCCUGGCUCUGUCCAUGGCUCUGUUACUGGUGUUACUGGUGUCACUGGUGUGUCACUGGUGUUACUGGUGUUACUGGUGUCACUGGUCCGUUACUGGUGUCACUGGUGCUGUCCCUGUCCCUAUCCCUGUCCCUGGUGUCAACUGGUGUCACUGGUGUCACUGGUCCGUUACUGGUGUCACUGGUGCUGUCCCUGGCUCUGUCCAUGG